rnacentral:tRNA from 1 species
GUCCUCGUAGCUUACAACCCAAAGCAUGACACUGAAGAUGUCAAGACGGCUGACCACACACCCGAGAACA